GAUCAGUGUAAACCCAUGUCUCUCUUGUAUGUCUCUGUGGUCAGAAAGUUUCAGAGUUUGAUGGGCUGUCUUAGAAAAGUGAAUUGUCUCUAUAUAUAUGUGUAUGUGUGUUGCAUUUUGUAUUUAUAUGUAGAUAUGUAUCAUUAAUUAUUGUCCCUGCAAUUAAUUUGGUGAUGGGUUUCUAUGUUUGGUUACUAAAUAUGGCUGCUGCUGCUGCUUUUUCUCUGAAGCUAUUGCUGGAUAUUAGUUAGGCAGAGUUUGCAGGAGAUGGGCAGUGACAAAACAAUAAUUAUAAAAUCGUGUUUUCUUUAUAUCAUUGUGAUGUCUAUAUUAGCAAAAAGAGAAGAGCUUCUUUUUUUCAUCUUGGGGCGAUUGAAAAAGGUAUGAUCUGUUGUCACAUAUAUUUUCUGAUGCACUAGUUAAUUAAUAAGUCCCUAUAUUAGCAAAAGCUAAAGGCUAUAAAAUUAGGAAAAUUUAAAUAACAUUUUUAUUUUGUGGUCAGUUAUGCUUUGUGUUUUGGGUUUCUCUUUGCGUCUC